UACGAAGGGGGCUAGCGUUGUUCGGAAUUACUGGGCGUAAAGCGCGCGUAGGCGGACUGACAAGUCGGGGGUGAAAUCCCGAGGCUCAACCUCGGAACUGCCUUCGAUACUGGCGAUCUUGAGUCCGGAAGAGGUGAGUGGAACUCCUAGUGUAGAGGUGGAAUUCGUAGAUAUUAGGAAGAACACCAGUGGCGAAGGCGGCUCACUGGUCCGGUACUGACGCUGAGGUGCGAAAGCGUGGGGAGCAAACAGG
rnacentral:rRNA from 1 species